AGACCUUGCAGUUACUCUCUACCUCUACAAGACACUUGUUCUCUUGAACAUGCAUUUUGAAUCCAGAGAAGAGGUGUCUUAUGGAUGUUGAGAUUAAAGGGCAAUUUCU
rnacentral:pre_miRNA from 1 species